GACGAACGCUGGCGGCGUGCUUAACACAUGCGAGUCGAACGGAAAGGCCCUGCUUUUGUGGGGUGCUCGAGUGGCGAACGGGUGAGUAACACGUGAGUAACCUGCCCUUGACUUUGGGAUAACUUCAGGAAACUGGGGCUAAUACCGGAUAGGAGCUCCUGCUGCAUGGUGGGGGUUGGAAAGUUUCGGCGGUUGGGGAUGGACUCGCGGCUUAUCAGCUUGUUAGUGGGGUAGUGGCUUACCAAGGCUUUGACGGGUAGCCGGCCUGAGAGGGUGACCGGCCACAUUGGGACUGAGAUACGGCCCAGACUCCUACGGGAGGCAGCAGUGGGGAAUAUUGCACAAUGGGCGGAAGCCUGAUGCAGCAACGCCGCGUGCGGGAUGACGGCCUUCGGGUUGUAAACCGCUUUCGCCUGUGACGAAGCGUGAGUGACGGUAAUGGGUAAAGAAGCACCGGCUAACUACGUG
rnacentral:rRNA from 1 species